CGGUGUAUACGAGAACAAGGACAACACGCUGCAAGUGUAUCACGCUCGGCUGCUGGACCGCGGCAGGUGUAACAACGUGACGCAGCGGUUCGGCGUCACCGUCACUGACAACUUCAUCUGCCUCACGCAGACCGGCAGAAGAGCUCCUUGCACUCGUGACACAGGAGCGCCUGCAGUCAGUGACGGUGUAUUGUGGGGAAUGGCCUCGUGGGGAAUACGAAAACUAUGCGGCACGGAGCGGUUUCCAGCAAUGUUCUCGUACUUAGCAUCGCAAUCCAACAUGGACUUUAUAAUGAACGCGACCAGGGUCCUGAUGGCAGACGAGCGAUAUUACCCCUUCCUGGACAAGCGCCCGCGGAUGCACAUCACAACCACCACUACCACGCCACCUACUCUGCCUUAUUGAUACCCUGGUACUUCUGUAAUAUAUUAAUAAAAUUAUCAUAGUA